AUUGAACGCUGGCGGCAGGCUUAACACAUGCAAGUCGAGCGGGGUGAUGGUGCUUGCACUAUCACUUAGCGGCGGACGGGUGAGUAAUGCUUAGGAAUCUGCCUAUUAGUGGGGGACAACAUCUCGAAAGGGAUGCUAAUACCGCAUACGUCCUACGGGAGAAAGCAGGGGAUCACUUGUGACCUUGCGCUAAUAGAUGAGCCUAAGUCGGAUUAGCUAGUUGGUGGGGUAAAGGCCUACCAAGGCGACGAUCUGUAGCGGGUCUGAGAGGAUGAUCCGCCACACUGGGACUGAGACACGGCCCAGACUCCUACGGGAUGCAGCAGUGGGGAAUGUUGGACAAUGGGGGGAUCCCUGAUCCAGCCAUGCCGCGUGUGUGAAGAAGGCCUUAUUGUUGUAAAGCACUUUAAGCGAGGAGGAGGCUCUUUUGGUUAAUACCCAAGAUGAGUGGACGUUACUCGCAGAAUAAGCACCGGCUAACUCUGUGCCAGCCGCCGCAGUAA
rnacentral:rRNA from 1 species